ensembl:lncRNA
UGGCACUGGCAGAGGAGCUGGUGUCUGUAGUGUAGGCAGCAGCGCUGUCUCUGUAGUAGCUGCAGGUGAAUAGACAUCACUGGUGCUGUUGUGUUGACUGGUCCUGUGAUGGUUUUCAGUACCUAGUCCAUCUCACUAGUUCUUGUGCAUCACAGUGAGUUCUCUGUUACACUAGCUAGCUACUAAUGGUCAGAUUUGUUUUGACAUAAUUUCAGGUUGACACCCCCCUCAUUGUUUGUGACUGGCUUUGACAAAAAUCAUUGAUGUCACUCGUAGGCUUCAGUGAUUGGUCACUCAUUUAGCGUUGUACUUUUCCACUCCUUCAUUGUUUCAUAAUUGGCUCAUUAAGCAUACAAUGAUUUCCCAGGCUGCGUCACUUUUAUCAUGGUGUACACCAACCAACAUGUCCAUCUAAUGCUAACCAUAGUCUCCAUCAACUGUAGGGCUGAAAGGAAAGCACUGUCCUUUUCCUUAACUCUCAUCAACUCCUUCAAACUCAUACUGUUGUUCAACUUUGGCUCAUUCCAUCACUUUCCCAAGAACUUGGCAAUAAUUCCCUUAACUGUUAAAAAUCACCAUUCAAAUGGAUUUUAAAUAUUUUACCUGAAAUGUAUGUAGCUCUUUUGUCUUUCAAACUGCUCGCUUUUAAUCUCUGCAUCUUCACUCUUAACUCUCCGGACUAGUUUGGCUGUCACCCCCGUACCUUUUAACACUUUGGUUACAUCCAUCUUGUAUAUUUGCUCAUCUCUUCUCCCCUGCCAGUUUUUAGUGGUAGUUGUUUAAUGAUCAGGAUUGUCUGUAGUCAAGCUGAGUACAUAUAUUGAUCUGUGUCACUGUGUUUUAUGCACUGGACCAACUAUUGUUUACCAUUCAUUAAAUACCAGCAAAAAAGCAAAUAAAGACAAAACACUUGCACAAUGAUGUAGAAUGUCCAUGAACCUGGCGAGAAAAAAGGCAGCUGUUUUCAAAUCAAUACUGUUUGCAAAUGAACUGAAUGGUAAACAAUGCUUUCUGUUGUAUCCUUAGCCGUCCUCUCCACUCCGUUUGGACUAUAGUUUGGUUCUUUGUUUUUCUGUUGACUUCAGGAUCAGCUUGUUUCCUUUACACCUAC